GUGGGGAAUAUUGGACAAUGGGCGAAAGCCUGAUCCAGCCAUGCCGCGUGUGUGAAGAAGGUCUUCGGAUUGUAAAGCACUUUAAGUUGGGAGGAAGGGCAGUAAGUUAAUACCUUGCUGUUUUGACGUUACCAACAGAAUAAGCACCGGCUAACUUCGUGCCAGCAGCCGCGGUAAUACGAAGGGUGCAAGCGUUAAUCGGAAUUACUGGGCGUAAAGCGCGCGUAGGUGGUUCAGUAAGUUGGAAGUGAAAUCCCCGGGCUCAACCUGGGAACUGCUGUCAAAACUGCUGAGCUAGAGUACGGUAGAGGGUGGUGGAAUUUCCUGUGUAGCGGUGAAAUGCGUAGAUAUAGGAAGGAACACCAGUGGCGAAGGCGACCACCUGGACUGAUACUGACACUGAGGUGCGAAAGCGUGGGGAGCAAACAGGAUUAGAAACCCCGGUAGUCC
rnacentral:rRNA from 1 species